AUUUGAUCUGAAAUCAGGCGGGAUUACCCCGCUGAACUUAAGCAUAUCAAU
rnacentral:rRNA from 1 species